UGAGUUCUCCUCACUCCAAACGCUGGAUGUAGUUAAGAUUAGAGACUCCCUGGCAAGACAAUUCUGCAGUGCUCUGGAAAAGACUUCCAGAGC